rnacentral:sRNA from 1 species
UGCUGAUUAAGAUUAAAAAUUAAAAGUUAAAUGAAAUUAAUUAUCUUAAUUGUAUUUGGAAAUGUUUGACAGACAAAUGUUAAAUAAAAUUAUAUUAAUUGUAAUAGAAUUUUUUUAGGCUUAAAAAAGUUCUAUCUUAAAGUUUGUUCAGGCAUAAAUAAAUGUUAGGUCGGUCCUGUUUGAAGCCUGCAUUUUCUCCCUCGGAAUUAAUUCCCACCAACCAAAAAAGUCAUGGUAACUCAGAAGGUCAAAAAGAUUCAAUGCAAAAGAUUCUUUUGUUUCAAUAGUCCCAGAGAUUGAAGUUUGUUGGUACCAUUAAGCCAUUUUGUAUACAUGCCUGAAUGGACAUACAUUCUAAUGUAUUUAUUUAUGAAUUAUUUGUCCAAUAAAUAUCAUGCUUCAAGUUUACAAAUUCUGCUUAAGACUUUCGUCUAACAUUACAAAUGCAAAUUUUUAAUCAAUCAAUCAUAGUAUUUCAUAAGAGAUUGCCAUUUAAUUUCGUGCAUUGUUAUGCAUGACCGCAUGCAUAAAUGUAGACACGUGUCAUUAUGUGAUCACAGUUCCAUAUGAACCUAUAAUAGUGUACAGAGGACAGUUACAAAAGUAGAUUAUUUUAAUAAGCAAUCAUAUGUACAAUCGAUUAUAACAAUUGUUUUAGUUGGUAAGUUUACUAAAAAUUAGUUAAUAUAAUUAAUUUCCUUCGAAUACAUCUAAAACUCAGCUUUCUAGAUAAGAAAAGAAUAUAUAUGAAGCUUUAUAUUCUCAAGAAACAUUUUAUAUAUUAUUAUGAGACGAAUUUUCAGAUUUACAAAAAUAUUCGUUUUACUAAAUUUAGGUUGAGGUUCCAAACAUGCUCUAUCGGCAUCUGCUUCAACAAAUACAUAACACAGAAAAUGCCAAACCUCGUAUGUGACAG